GCCUGGAUGCUCUCCAAUGGAGAGAUGCCACUUUUCCUGGGCACCCUUUCUUCUGCAGCCACUCUCUUACUGAGGACCUUGGUGCCACAAAGUAGCCAUAGGGGUGGGGCUGUGAAGGUCAAGGUCAUCUUGAAACCCUGCUCUCAUCCCAGCAACUUUGUGAGUGUUGUGUACCUCCCUCUCCUGAUGAAGGUCAAAGUGUCACGGCCACUUUCAAGGAGGGCUGUGACUGAAGAUUUAAAGAAUAGGAAUGGGCUUCUACUUAUGAAAGAGCAUGGAAAUUCUCCCACUGUGAAAACCCCUGCAUGGGCUGCAAACCCAGGAAAAGUGAGUGUUGUUGGGUUAGGCAAUACAUGGGCCAUUAGGAAUGGGGCUUGAGCUAUUCAGUGAAAGUCUAUGCUGACCAUUGUAACUAAUAUCUACUGCUAGCUAUUUGAGCUAGGACCCAUGCAGUGAGAUCUAAAAGGCCCUUCUUCAUCCACCGAGGCUCCAUUCCAUGCUGUGUUUUCCUGAUGGAUGACAUCACC
rnacentral:lncRNA from 1 species